UACGUAGGGUGCGAGCGUUAAUCGGAAUUACUGGGCGUAAAGCGUGCGCAGGCGGUUGUGCAAGACAGAUGUGAAAUCCCCGGGCUCAACCUGGGAACUGCAUUUGUGACUGCACGGCUGGAGUGCGGCAGAGGGGGAUGGAAUUCCGCGUGUAGCAGUGAAAUGCGUAGAUAUGCGGAGGAACACCGAUGGCGAAGGCAAUCCCCUGGGCCUGCACUGACGCUCAUGCACGAAAACGUGGGGAGCAAACAGG
rnacentral:rRNA from 1 species